AAUUACAAAAGAAAGAAAAAAGAGGAAAAAGUUAAUGAGAUUAUGGCUUUGGUUUUUGUAACAAAUCUGCAAGAUCAAGGGGCAACACUACGCCGCAGCAACAGGGACAAACAACCCCCUAAAUACUUGGACCAAUAUGUGGUCCCAAAUGCCAAGCAAGGUCCACCUGUGCUAGUAUCAGUAGCACCAGUAGCAGCAGGCAGUGCUGCCAGGAGCUCUGCAACAUAACUUAUCUAUAUAAUCAAAAGGUAUGCUACCAAGGAGGAUCAUGGAUGAAGUUGUCUUUUAAUUUCUUAGCUUUGUAAUAGUCUGAAAUCUCUCUCCAUUCUUGUUUUUUUUUUCUUUUUAGCUUAUCUACACUUUCAGUAAUUGUAAGUUAUUCUCUAUCUUUCAAAACAAGUUAGUUUGCUCCAGUUGUCACCAAAAGCAGAUAACAUUAUGGGUCCUACUUGAAUGCAAAAUAAGAAUCUAAUAAUAGAGGAGGAAGAAGAUAUUGGAUUCCCAGCAAUUCUCCGCUAAAUACUAAUCAAACUUUAUCUAUUAGAUUUGACAUGAUAUAUCAGAAAAGUGAAAAUUAGCGGAAACUCACAUUUCGAGGUAUAAUUUUACCAAUAUCUGCUUUCUUUAAUUUAUUUCUAGAUUCUGGUGCAACUUUGUGAGGUAUAAAUUUUAUUUUUUGCAUCUGACAUACUCAAAGACCAAAAUUAUUAAGUGCAUACUUAAGAAACUAUUUUGAAUGUAUCAUCAAAAACAUAAAGCUUCAUUUUUUUUCAUUUUCCCUUUUCACAACUUAUUCAAGCACAACGUUUGACUGAUGACAGCGGGUUGUCAAAGUUAUUUUUAACUGGCUCAAGUCAAACAGUUUCAACAAGGUGGCAUUUUAUUAACCAUGAUGAUUCGACUUGAAACUAUAGGUUCAUGCAUCAAUUUAGUGGGAUGUAUCCUUCAAAAUCAUGAAGAAUGGUAGACAAUAUGAUGCAAUAAUUUUCCAACAUCAUUGCUCUGAACUACUUAAUCCGUAUGCUACAUUGACCAUCCGCUUUACUUCAUAUUCACGAACUACUUCUACCAUGUAGAUUUACGUUAGAUAACUACACUUCUUCGGUAGAACUUAGUAUUGGCAGAGAGUAUUUGAGCUCUACAUCCCAAUGGAAGAACUGUUGCUCUACCACCAGAGCUACUUACAAAUAUUCCGGGAAAUAGUUCCCCUUUGGACCAUUUUUACUUCUUGAUCUGAGGCAAUUUACUGAUAGUUUCAAGGCUUUUGCAUCUACCUGUUUUGGCACAGGUUUCUUGCUUCACGCACAUUCAUCUCCAUAUGGUUUUUGGAAGCUACUUGUCAGCAAAGGCUAAGUUGUCCAAAAAAGUUGGCAGUCAUGUCACCUACCUCUACAAAGACAAAAACUAUACAGAUUCCAAUGUUCUUUCGGGAAUGUUUCUCAGGCCAAGAGUGUAGUUGUUCUGUUACAUAGAAAACAUGCACCAUUCAUAUGCAGUGUCACCAGUUCUGUUCUGAAAUACCAUGUUCUCAUUUUGUACUGCAAAAAUAAUCAAAUCCAAAAAACUGGAACUUGUUAAAACCACUUAUAAGUAAUCAAAUUAUACAUAUAAUUACUUUAUCACAUAUUCCUAAUCCAAAAUGAUCACAAAAACUUGCAGCAUUUCUUUUUUAAACUCCUCAACUAGCCUUCCAUUAUUUCCUGUUACCAGAAGAUAAUCAACAUAAAGAGACACAUUUACAUAAAGAGUGGAUUCAGAUAAGUUUUUUUAAAAACCCAAACUUAACAGCUAUACCAAGCACUUGGCACUUGUUUUAGGCCAUAAAAAGCCUUUUUUAGCAAAUAGAUUUUAUCUUUAUCACCAUGUUUCACAAAUUCUGAUGGUUGCUCGACAUAUAUUUCCUCCUUUAGUAUGCCAUUUAAGAAGGCUGAUUUGACAUCAAGUUGGAACACUUUCCAUUUCAUUUGUGUUGCUAUUGUGAGCAACAAUCUGAUUGUGUCUUAUCUUGCAACAGGAGAGAAAGUGUAAGAGAAAUCAAAUCCAAAAAUUUGUGCAUACCCUUUCACUACAUGCCUUGCUUUAUGCCUGUUGAUUGAACCAUCAACAUUUAGCUUGGUCCGAA
rnacentral:lncRNA from 1 species